UAAGGAAUAUUGGACAAUGGUCGCAAGACUGAUCCAGCCAUGCCGCGUGCAGGAAGACGGCCCUAUGGGUUGUAAACUGCUUUUGUACCAGAGAAAACCUAUCUACGUGUAGAUAGCUGAUAGUAUGGUAAGAAUAAGCAUCGGCUAACUUCGUGCCAGCAGCCGCGGUAAGACGAAGGAUGCAAGCGUUAUCCGGAUUCAUUGGGUUUAAAGGGUGCGUAGGCGGGCUUGUAAGUCAGUGGUGAAAUCUCUCAGCUUAACUGAGAAACUGCCAUUGAUACUGCAGGCCUAGAGUAUAGAUGACGUUGGCGGAAUAUGACAUGUAGUGGUGAAAUACUUAGAUAUGUCAUAGAACACCGAUUGCGAAGGCAGCUAACGAAACUAUAACUGACGCUGAGGCACGAAAGUGCGGGGAUCAAAC
rnacentral:rRNA from 1 species